rnacentral:rRNA from 1 species
AGUGAACGCUGGCGGUAGGCCUAACACAUGCAAGUCGAACGGCAGCACAGUAAGAGCUUGCUCUUACGGGUGGCGAGUGGCGGACGGGUGAGGGAUACAUCGGAAUCUACUUUUUCGUGGGGGAUAACGUAGGGAAACUUACGCUAAUACCGCAUACGACCUACGGGUGAAAGCAGGGGAUCUUCGGACCUUGCGCGAUUGAAUGAGCCGAUGUCGGAUUAGCUAGUUGGCGGGGUAAAGGCCCACCAAGGCGACGAUCCGUAGCUGGUCUGAGAGGAUGAUCAGCCACACUGGAACUGAGACACGGUCCAGACUCCUACGGGAGGCAGCAGUGGGGAAUAUUGGACAAUGGGCGCAAGCCUGAUCCAGCCAUACCGCGUGGGUGAAGAAGGCCUUCGUGUUGUAAAGCCCUUUUGUUGGGAAAGAAAAGCAGCAGGUUAAUACCCCGCUGUUCUGACGGUACCCAAAGAAUAAGCACCGGCUAACUUCGUG